UACGUAGGGUGCGAGCGUUGUCCGGAAUUAUUGGGCGUAAAGGGCUCGUAGGCGGUUUGUCGCGUCGGGAGUGAAAUCCACUGGCUUAACUGGUGGCUUGCUUUCGAUACGGGCAGACUGGAGGUAUGCAGGGGAGAACGGAAUUCCUGGUGUAGCGGUGAAAUGCGCAGAUAUCAGGAGGAACACCGGUGGCGAAGGCGGUUCUCUGGGCCGAUACUGACGUGAGGAGCGAAAGUGUGGGGAGCGAACAGG
rnacentral:rRNA from 1 species